rnacentral:miRNA from 1 species
AUUCUCGUACCCAGAGCCCUUCUUACGCGCGGUCGAACGCGCGUAAGAAGGGCUCUGGGUACGAGAAU